CCUACGGGAGGCAGCAGUAGGGAAUAUUGCUCAAUGGGGGAAACCCUGAAGCAGCAACGCCGCGUGAAGGAUGAAGGUUUUCGGUUUGUAAACUCCUUUUGUUAGAGAAGAUAAUGACGGUAUCUAACGAAUAAGCCCCGGCUAACUCCGUGCCAGCAGCCGCGGUAAUACGGAGGGUGCACGCGUUACUCGGAAUCACUGGGCGUAAAGGGCUCGUAGGCGGGAAAGCAAGUCUGAAGGGAAAUCCUAGGGCUUAACCCUAGAACUGCAUUUGAAACUGUUAUGCUAGAGUAUGGGAGAGGUAGGUGGAAUUCUUGGUGUAGGGGUAAAAUGCGUAGAGAUUAAGAGGAAUACUCAUGGCGAAGGCGACCUGCUAGAACAUAACUGACGCUGAGGCGCGAAAGCGUGGGGAGCAAACAGGAUUAGAUACCCCGGUAGUC
rnacentral:rRNA from 1 species